UAGUAGAGACGGGGUUUCACCAUGUUGGCCAGGCUGGUGUCGAACUCCUGACCUCAGGUGAUCCACCUACCUCAGCCUCCUAGAGUGCUGGGAUUACAGGCAUGAGCCACCGCACCCGGUGUUGUUUUAUUUUUUAAUCAGCAAUGGUUUUGGAUUCCAAAGCUCUCAGGACCAAGGCCCACGCAUUUUGUCUAGUUGUCAUGUACUCUUCAGUUUCUCAAACUGGAAUUGUCCCUCACUAUGUGUUUUUCAUAACAUCAGCCUCUUGCAGAGUCUGGGCAGUUUGUCUUGUGUGGGAUGAUCCAUCAUCUGGAGUUGUCUUUCCUGGUGUUGUCACCUCUGUGUGGUGCUGGGUGAGGCCUUAGAGUUGAAAGUCCACAUGCUUGAGUUGCCUGUAGUGAGCUUAUCCAAGGGAAUGAGCCUAAUUUCUUUCUGUUUCUUCAUUCUAGGACUGUGAGGAAUGUAUCCAGCUGGAGCCGACCUUCAUCAAGGGUUAUACACGGAAA
rnacentral:sRNA from 1 species